AUUAGCUCCUGAUGAGUUUUUGAAUUUAAAUUUAAAAGGCAUAUUGUCACAAAGAUACAACCAUAUGAGAGGAUUUCAAAAAUUGGAGAUGCUAAGUACUUCGUGCUUGUUAGGGCCAAAAAUAUGCAGAGUUCACCAGCUUAUGCUGGAGAAGAAGGAAAAAAAAAUACUGAGGGGCUCUAAUCCUGCCACCAGCUCUGGAGACCUUACUCAUGACCUUUCCCUUACAUGAAAAGCUGUACAAAUAUCCUCGCCCUGUGAAUGGUAGAAUUCAAUCCAAGGUAAAAAGUUCUCC